rnacentral:rRNA from 1 species
UACAGAGGUCUCAAGCGUUGUUCGGAUUCAUUGGGCGUAAAGGGUGCGUAGGCGGCGCGGUAAGUCGGGUGUGAAAUCUCGGAGCUUAACUCCGAAACUGCAUUCGAUACUGCCGUGCUUGAGGACUGGAGAGGAGAUUGGAAUUCACGGUGUAGCAGUGAAAUGCGUAGAUAUCGUGAGGAAGACCAGUGGCGAAGGCGGGUCUCUGGACAGUUCCUGACACUGAGGCACGAAGGCCAGGGGAGCAAACGGG